rnacentral:lncRNA from 1 species
CAAGGAAUGAACUCUUUUAUUUUUUUACUACUAAAACAUAUAUUUAUUUAUUUAUUUAUUUUGUGCCUGCAUUUCUCUUGGAAAUUUUUAUUUAAUUAAUAAAUUUAGAAUAUUUUUCCAUGGUUACAAGAUUCAUGUUCUUUCCCUGCUCUUCCCCAAACCUCCUCCCGUAGCCCACAGGCAACUCCCAGGGAAUGAACUCUUGAUGACUGAUUUCAACCCAGCUGGGCCAGGUCCUGAGCUUGGCCUCAAGCCCUCACACCAACACUGACUCUUGAUUAUAUCAGGCUUGAUAUUAUAAAAGAUCUUCUUUGAUGUGUCUCUUCUAGUGAAGAAAGCUACUUCUCAAAAAGUCCAAAGGUUUCCCUUCAACCUCUCUGUAGAUUUGAUAACAGCAGGAUCAGCAGAAGCUACCUCCUCUCCUCUCAGCUCCAAGGACCAGGAAGCAAGCCCCUUCUGUUGAUUUAUCAUGAAGACUAACUACAACACACUGUGUGGUCUGAGACACCAAAUUCCUUUAACCUCUAAGAUUUUCUGGUUUUGCCAUGAAAAUAAUUGGUUGGGAGAAAGCGUGAACAGAAAGGUUUUAAGGCUAUUGAAGAUGUUUAUCACCCUGAAAAAUCUGGCAAGAGAACCACUAGAGUCUGAGAGCUGGGACUAAUGUCAGAAUUUGACAGUGAGGAGCAGAGUCUCAAGUGACCUGCCUGGCACCAUUUAAGCAAGAGUCAAGAUACAGCUUCUUCUGUCUAUCAAGCAUUCUGAAUUUGGAAGUGAGGUUGAUGGGGAAAAUGUCAUGAAAGAACAAAACUAAGUCUGAACCUACUCAUUCCAGAAACUAAGGGAGCAUAAAUGAGAUAGUAUGCCCCAGGAUUUAGGGGAAGAAAUGUUUACACUGCUGUUCUUCCUAUAUUUGUAGUGAAAAUAUCCCUAAUCAAUGUUAAUUGGUUAAAUGGAACUGAAAUGUUAAUUACUAAUAGCCAAAAAUGGUGAACAUACACCAGAAUGAGGGCUCAGACUGACAAUAAAGAAAAAUAUCCCCAGCCUCUUAGGAGUACU